UUGCACGCUGGCGGCAUGCCUUACCCAUGCAAGUCGCACGGUAACAGGUCUUCGGAUGCUGACGAGUGGCGAACGGGUGAGUAAUACAUCGGAACGUGCCCGAUCGUGGGGGAUAACGAGGCGAAAGCUUUGCUAAUACCGCAUACGAUCUACGGAUGAAAGCGGGGGAUCUUCGGACCUCGCGCGGACGGAGCGGCCGAUGGCAGAUUAGGUAGUUGGUGGGAUAAAAGCUUACCAAGCCGACGAUCUGUAGCUGGUCUGAGAGGAUGAUCAGCCACACUGGGACUGAGACACGGCCCAGACUCCUACGGGAGGCAGCAGUGGGGAAUUUUGGACAAUGGGCGAAAGCCUGAUCCAGCCAUGCCGCGUGCAGGAUGAAGGCCUUUGGGUUGUAAACUGCUUUUGUACGGAACGAAAAGCCUCUUUCUAAUAAAGAGGGGUCAUGACGGUACCGUAAGAAUAAGCACCGGCUAACUACGUG
rnacentral:rRNA from 1 species